CCUACGGGCGGCAGCAGUGGGGAAUAUUGGACAAUGGGCGAAAGCCUGAUCCAGCCAUGCCGCGUGUGUGAAGAAGGCCUUCGGGUUGUAAAGCACUUUCAGUGGGGAAGAAAGCCUUGGGGCUAAUACCCUCGAGGAAGGACAUCACCCACAGAAGAAGCACCGGCUAACUCCGUGCCAGCAGCCGCGGUAAUACGGAGGGUGCGAGCGUUAAUCGGAAUUACUGGGCGUAAAGCGCGCGUAGGCGGUCUGAUAAGCCGGUUGUGAAAGCCCCGGGCUCAACCUGGGAACGGCAUCCGGAACUGUCAGGCUAGAGUGCAGGAGAGGAAGGUAGAAUUCCCGGUGUAGCGGUGAAAUGCGUAGAGAUCGGGAGGAAUACCAUUGGCGAAGGCGGCCUUCUGGACUGACACUGACGCUGAGGUGCGAAAGCGUGGGUAGCAAACAGGAUUAGAUACCGAGUAGUC
rnacentral:rRNA from 1 species